CUGCCCUUUAUAUAGACCACCCUCGGAAGCCAGCCUCUUCGACUUAGGACCAGAGAUGCGGGCAUGGCUACACGACACCGAGUUGGACCUCUGGCGUUCCACGAAAGAAGAAGAACAUAUCAGCAUGCUAAAACACAAAAACUUUGAGACA